CCAGACUCCUACGGGAGGCAGCAGUGGGGGAUAUUGCACAAUGGGGGGAACCCUGAUGCAGCGACGCCGCGUGGGUGAAGGAGCGUUUCGGCGCGUAAAGCCCUAUCGGCAGGGAAGAAGAUGACGGUACCUGACCAAGAAGCCCCGGCUAACUACGUGCCAGCAGCCGCGGUAAUACGUAGGGGGCAAGCGUUAUCCGGAUUUACUGGGUGUAAAGGGGGCGCAGACGGCAAUGCAAGCCAGGAGUGAAAGCCCGGGGCCCAACCCCGGGACUGCCCUUGGAACUGUGCGGCUAGAGUGCGGGAGGGGCAGGCGGAAUUCCUGGUGUAGCGGUGAAAUGCGUAGAUAUCAGGAGGAACACCGGCGACGAAGG
rnacentral:rRNA from 1 species